rnacentral:rRNA from 1 species
GGUGAACGCUGGCGGCGUGCCUAAUACAUGCAAGUCGAGCGAACAGACGAGGAGCUUGCUUCUCUGACGUUAGCGGCGGACGGGUGAGUAACACGUGGAUAACCUACCUAUAAGACUGGGAUAACUUCGGGAAACCGGAGCUAAUACCGGAUAAUAUAUUGAACCGCAUGGUUCAAUAGUGAAAGACGGUCUUGCUGUCACUUAUAGAUGGAUCCGCGCUGCAUUAGCUAGUUGGUAAGGUAACGGCUUACCAAGGCAACGAUGCGUAGCCGACCUGAGAGGGUGAUCGGCCACACUGGAACUGAGACACGGUCCAGACUCCUACGGGAGGCAGCAGUAGGGAAUCUUCCGCAAUGGGCGAAAGCUUGACGGAGCAACGCCGCGUGAGUGAUGAAGGUCUUCGGAUCGUAAAACUCUGUUAUUAGGGAAGAACAAAUGUGUAAGUAACUAUGCACAUCUUGACGGUACCUAAUCAGAAAGCCACGGCUAACUACGUG